UUAUGCCUGACAACAUCUAUUUAUCCCCUUAAAGAUCAAAACUUUACGUGCUUCAUACACCCAAGCAUA
rnacentral:tRNA from 1 species